rnacentral:rRNA from 1 species
GAGUUUGAUCAUGGCUCAGAACGAACGCUGGCGGCAGGCUUAACACAUGCAAGUCGAACGCCCCGCAAGGGGAGUGGCAGACGGGUGAGUAACGCGUGGGAAUCUACCCAGAUCUUCGGAACAACUGAGGGAAACUUCAGCUAAUACCGGAUACGCCCUACGGGGGAAAGAUUUAUCGGUUCUGGAUGAGCCCGCGUUGGAUUAGCUAGUUGGUGGGGUAAUGGCCUACCAAGGCGACGAUCCAUAGCUGGUCUGAGAGGAUGAUCAGCCACACUGGGACUGAGACACGGCCCAGACUCCUACGGGAGGCAGCAGUGGGGAAUAUUGGUCAAUGGGCGGAAGCCUGAACCAGCCAUGCCGCGUGAGUGAUGAAGGCCUUAGGGUUGUAAAGCUCUUUCAGUAGGGAAGAGUAAUGACGGUACCUACAGAAGAAGCCCCGGCUAACUUCGUGCCAGCAGCCGCAGUAAC